rnacentral:rRNA from 1 species
GAUGAACGCUAGCGGGAGGCGUUAACACAUGCAAGUCGAGGGGCAGCAGGUCGGAACUUCGGUUUUGAUGCUGGCGACCGGCGCACGGGUGAGUAACGCGUAUGCAACCUACCCUUAACAGGGGGAUAGGUCCCGGAAACGGGAAUUAAUACCCCAUAACACUGCCAGGUGGCAUCACCAGGCAUUUAAAACUACGGUGGUUAGGGAUGGGCAUGCGUAACAUUAGCUAGUUGGUGAGGUAACGGCUCACCAAGGCAACGAUGUUUAGGGGGCCUGAGAGGGUGGUCCCCACACUGGUACUGAGACACGGACCAGACUCCUACGGGAGGCAGCAGUGAGGAAUAUUGGUCAAUGGGCGGAAGCCUGAACCAGCCAUCCCGCGUGCAGGAAGACGGCCCUAUGGGUUGUAAACUGCUUUUCUGAAGGAAGAAUAGUUUCGAUUUUUUCGGGAUAUGACGGUACUUCAGGAAUAAGCAUCGGCUAACUCCGUG